rnacentral:lncRNA from 1 species
AGGGAUGUCAAUGGGUAUGGAUACCCAAAAUAUUAUCUGAACCCGAAUCAGAACGGAGCGGAUUUACCCGAGCUAAACGGGUAUGAAUUCGGUUUUGGGUAUAGAAAAUAAAAAUACGACGGAUAUGAAUACGGAUAUGAAUUUUAUAUUUAUCCGAUCGAACCCAAAUAAAUUAUUUAUAUACAUAAUUUAUUUAUUUAUUUAUAUACUAUAUAAAAUAUUUAAUAAUUUUUUUCUCUUAGAUCGUCAUCAAAUGGUAUGAAUUUUUAAAACCCGCCGGAUUCGGAUCCGGAUUUGGAUUUUGGGUUUUUGGUCGGGUAUGGAUAUGGGUAUGAAUUUUUAAAAGCCGCCGGGUUCAGAUCCGAGUUCAGGUUUUAAUUUGGUUUUCGGGUUCAGGUUCGGGUUUUUAAAAACUCAACCCAAACACGACCUGUUGACAUCCCUAACAGCUAUGUCUAUUUUUUGCCUAUUUUUUAUGCCCGCCAUUCUAACAAUAAUUUAAAUCCAACAAAUUAUUUAUAUUUAAUAUCAAAACUAAAUUACUAGUUGAUAACAUGAAAUGUAUCUUAUAUGGCCAAUUCAAGAACUAUAUAUAUAUAUAUAUAUAUCAUUGAUUAGUACUAAUAAUUUAAAUUUAAGUAUUAAGUAUUUUAGAUCGAUAAACUAAUAUUAUUGUUAAUAGAUGGAAUCGUUUCAUUAAAUAGACCACGUCCAUGGUCCACGGAUGCAAUAACUUUCACAAUUAUUAUGAAAUAAUUAAUAAUUAAUUAAUGACCGGGUCAAAACGAGUAAUCCCCAAAAACGUGGCAACAAGCAAGUGCUUAAUUUGCGAGCUCUCCAUUUCCCCACCAUUAAUCUCUCCUCACUUUUCUCUCCUUCCCAACCACCAUUUCCAACAAACAAACUCUCCCUCUUCCUCCUCUUCUUCUUCUUCUUCUUCUUCUUCUUCCUCUUUUCCCUCUCAUCUCUCUCCUUUUGAACAAUACAAACCAUGGUGAGUCUCUCUCUACCCAGCUUAAGUUUUUAAAAAUAAAAAUGAUCGUUUUAAUAUGAUAUCAGAUCAAAAGAUUCUGAGUUUACAAAGUUAUGAAAUAUAUUAGAACGUUAUCUUUUCGUUGCAUUUUAAAGUUUAGAGAAUAAUGAUUGUUUGUUUCGUAAUAAUGUUAACGUUGUUUGUAUGUUCGCUGCUGCGUGGAAGGCGAACUCCGCGUCGGGAAUGGCGGUGCACGACGACUGCAAGGCGCGGUUCUUGGAGCUGAAGGCGAAGAGGGUCUACCGGUUCAUCGUGUUCAGGAUCGAGGAGAAGCUGCAGCAGGUGACCGUCGAGAAGCUCGGGCAGCCCGACGAGAGCUACGACGACUUCACCGCCAGUCUGCCCCCCGACGAGUGCCGCUACGCCGUCUUCGACUUCGACUUCGUCACCGACGAGAACUGCCAAAAGAGCAAGAUCUUCUUCAUCUCCUGGUAACUGCAUUUUCGGAUAAAUAUAAUUAAUUUGUUUCGUGGUAUAUAUUCUGGUCAAACUGUAGAAAUAUUGUGAAAAUCGAGCUAAGUUUUAAGAAAAUAAAUUUAUUUCUCAUAUGAGUUUUUUUUUGUAGUUAACGUAGAAAUGAAAAUUUGUGAUUGCUAUAACCUCUUCUUUUCUUUGGAAAUUUAAUGAAAAUGGAACAUAAAGACAUAUAUAUAUAUAUAUAUAUAUAUAUAUAUAUAUAUAUAUAUAUAUAUAUAUAUANGCACUAAAAUUGGUUGGCCAAAAUACUAAAUUUAUCGCGGUAUUAAGUUUAAAAUUUCACGUGCACGGAAAAAUUACAGCUAUUGAUAGAACAUAAGAUAUAUUUUGUUACUAGUUCUUCUGCAUGAGUUUUGGUCUGUUACCUUUUCGCGAAGUUAAAAAAAAAGGAGAAAAAAAACAAGUCUCUGAUUUGUUACGAAUAUAUAUAUAUAUAUAUAAAACAUUAAAACCUUACUUGGAUCGAAUAUGUGACAAUGUGUUGUUUGUUAUUGGACUCUUUUGGUGGAUAAAGAGAACAAUUUGUUCAUCGAUCGAUCAUUUGCUUCUAGUUAGCACAUGAUAAGGAUUAAUUUGCACUACAUAUAUAAUUUGGAGAGAUCGGAGAGGAAGAAGUUUUUGAUCAUUUCGACACGACUAUCCAAUCCUUUUAUUAUAAUAUAACGAUGUGCGUGCGUGCUAAGGGUUAAAUAUCACUAAAUAAUUUGGAGAGCCAAUUAUUCUUGAUCAUUUCGACACCACUAUUAUCAACGCAGGUUAUUGGUCGUCAAUUCGAAAUUAUCAAUGCAGGUUAACAAUGAGAUGUCGUGUUUAGAGAUGUCGUUACGGUAUUAUAUGUACUAACUUGUAAUUGGUAUAUUCUAAUUGCUCUUUUAAACGCGGCAUUUAUAGGGCGCCUGAUACAUCGAAGACGAGGAGUAAGAUGCUCUAUGCUAGCUCGAAGGACAGGUUCAGGAGGGAACUUGAUGGCAUACAAGUGGAGCUACAAGCGACUGAUCCGAGCGAGAUGAGCAUCGACAUCGUAAAAGGGCGAGCUAUUUAAAUAACUCACUAUGCAUCUAUAUAUGCAUCAUGUUCUGGGGGUUUGAUCGAUCCCCCCCCCCCAUGUUGUCGAACAUUGGACUUCAUUUUAUUCAUUCUUUGUUUUAUUUUCUCAGACGGUGUCGUAUAUUGUGGUACACUAUGUAUUAAUUUGUUCUUCCUUAUUCAAUCUUCUGAGGAGUAUUUAUACAACUUUGACCGACCGUCCCUAAAGCAAGUGGCAAAGGGCUUGGUGGUUGGUACUCGAGACCCAAGUUCGAAUCCUAGUUGAUUCACAUUUCCAGCUAAGUUUAUUUCUAAAUGAAAUAAACGAAGCGGGUAGCGCGCGUGCUACCUAUCUCUCUCAAAAAAUAAAGAAAAAGUAUUUAUACAACUUUGCUAUAGCAUACGAAAGCAUCGUAAUGUAGGUCAGAUUUCCUUAAAAUUUAUAAAUAUAGUCAUCUAUCUAAUUGCAUAACAAAUUUUUUUCCCUCGAUCCCUCCCCCUUCUUUUUUUUGGAAUAAUUGCUUAUAUACUCCUCAUACAUUUGAAAAUAUUUGAUUUAUCCCUUUUUUUUUCUUUCUAAAAUACCACUCAUAUGUUUCACCUUUAUUGUAAAAUAUCCCCGCAGUUAUCUCCUGUUAAGUUAACUUGGGUUAAACGUGAGUUAAAUAUCUACCACAGUUAAAAAAAAUUAAAAUAUCAAUUUUAUCCUUAACUUAAGGACAAAUAAGAAAGGUUGGUGACGGUAGAGGGGUAUAUUAAUGGAAAAGACCAAAAGUCAAAAUUAAAUGCUUUUUGUGCCCCUGACUUUAAAGGCAAAUAAGAAAGACAGUAAUGGGGAAGGAUAUAUUUGAAAGGGCAAAAUAGUAAUUUUACAGAGAUAACAGAGUUAAUUAACCGAUUUUAACUCUAGGGGUAGAUUAGAAAUAUGUUGGAAUGUAGAAAAGAUAUUUUUAAUAUUAAAAAAGCAGAAACUUUUCAGGAAUAUAUAAAUAAUUGCCCCUUUUUCUUCUUUUUUUUUCCUUCGUAACAUGGAAUUGUAAUUCCAAGUAAAUACUCAAUCUUCGCAAAUAUAUGUUUAUAUAUUAUCAGUUGUGACAAAACACGGCCUUAUGUAGUCUCUUACUUAUAUAUAUAAGACAAAAACAUUAAUAAUUUAAGCUUUUUUUUUUUGAUAAUUUAUUUGCAUGAGUUAAUGGUGGUUUAUAUGAAUUCCACACAUUUUUACGCACUUUUAGAUUUAAUUAAUUAUACACUGUAAAUAUCCCACAAUAUACUGACAUUUCGUAGGAGAAAUAAAUCAAAUACAUGCAAAUUACAACAUUUAGAGAGGUUCUCUGCAUUUAAUUAGCGCAAAUCAACGUGAAAUCUCUAUGUUUAAUUAAUCAAGUCCAAACCUCUAAACUAAAUCCGACUACUUAUCAAAAUCCAAAAUUAAAGUGGCAACUUUAUAUAUACAUGCACAAUUUUAUUUAUAACUUGUAAUUUUCACCGACCGUCCCUAGAGUAAGUGGCAAAAGGUUUGGUGGCUGGUAUCCGAGACCCAAAUUCGAAUCCUAAUUGAUUCACAUUUCUAGCUAAGUUUAUUUCUGAAUGAAAUAAACGAAGCGGGUAGCGUGCUACCUAUCUCUCAAACAAAAAAAGAAAAAAAAAAAAAUUUACUUGUUCGUUCUUUUAUUACUCAUCUCUUAUUCUUUUUUCUUUUUUCUUUUUUGACAAUCCAUCAUAUGUGAGACGUGGCAUGAUCACAAACAAACGUAUAUUUUUGGACAAUCGAGAAUUAACUCGAUUGCAAAAUGAGCAAAUUAAAAGGAAUAGAUAUCCAAUAACUUCAUUUACUUGGUUAGAUCGUUGCAAUUUUUUAUACAAAACCCUUCAAUAUAAAGUUGAAAUAAACUUCCUUUCGAAAUUCUAUUGAAAGCAGUUUGUUUUUUUUUUUUUUUCCUACCUUUGGUUUUAUAUUGCAUCUCAUUAGAUUUUUCUCUUUUUUUUCGAUAAACUUCAAACACUAUUUCUGUGGUUUCACACUUUCUCGCUUUAGUAUCAUGCGGUUUAAAGUAUAUCAAUUUAGUAUCCUAUAGUUUUAUUUUUUUUCUUUUCGUCAACCUCUCUGUUAACUUUUCGUUAAAUCAUAUACAAAAAACUUUAGAUACCCCAUUUAUAGUUUAUCGAAUAUUCACUUUAUUACCCUUUAGUUUUAAUUUUGUCACUUAUUAGAUAUAAAAAAUUAGUAAAGGAGAUAACAAAAAGAGAUAAAUAAAAUCAUAGAGUAUGAAAGUGAUACAUUUUAAACCGCAUGGUACUAAAGUGAAAAAGUGCGAAACCAUAGGGAUGACAUUUGAAGUUUUUUUUUUUUUUUUUUUUUUUUUUACAAAUAUAGACACAUUUAUUUGUAAACGUUCUCUUUAGGAUUCGAUUUUCUUUAGAAACCUAAACCAAAAAGAAACUCUUGGUUUCAAAUUAAAAUUCUUCUAAAACGGAAUUUUUUUUAAAAAAAUAGUAACGUCUCAGGUCGUAUACUCGUAUCAAAGAGGGGCACGGAAGUAGACAAUGCUUUGGAUCAAACUACGAAACUAAUUACAUUAUCCAAACGCUCAUCUUCUUUUUUUCCUUUUUCUUAAAGAAAGGGUUUCGUGGCCUUAUUAGUGUUUUGACCGAGCUUUAUUUUAAAAAGAGAACAAACGGUUUUGUAAAUUUAUGUACGCUCGGGGCGUGUUUGAUUCGAAGUCGGAAUCGAAAUCGGAAUCAGAAUCGAAAUAAGCUGGAAUCGGAGUCGGAAUGACUCAUUAUCUAAUUCUAUUUGGUUCAUCACCUGAAUUAGAAUCGGAAUAAAUCAUUCCCAUUGUUGGUGUUUGGUUCAGAUAAAUAUAAAAAAUGUAAUCGGAUUAAUAAGCUAACUUUAUCUUUAUAAUAUAUUAAUUUAAAUUCAAAUUAAAAUUUAAAUAUUAAAAAGGCUAAAUUACAGAAAACCCUAUUGCAAUAACCCGCUUUUUCACUUUCCAUUCCUGACAUUUAAAAACCUAUACUUUGCCUCCCUGUAAAAUAAAAAAUGUGCACCUCACUCUCUACCGUUAGGGUUCCGUUAAAAAAUAUAUUUUUAUGCCGAAAAUACUCCUCCGCCAUCUUCCUGUUGCUUCGCCUCCCUCUGGCUCGCCACCUCGCCGCCGCCUCGCCGCCUAGCCGCCUCGCCAUCCUCCACUGCCUCGCCCUCACCCACAUCCCUUUCGCCGUCCUCCGCCGCCUCGCCUUCGCCUUCUUUGCCCUUCUCCUAUUGUUGCCCACCUCGGUUUCUCCUACUGUCGCCGAAAUCGAGGGCGGCGAGGGUGCAGGAGGAAAAGGGAAGCAUGUGGAGAAAGAAAUGAAGAGAAAUCGCGGCCAAUUGAGGUGGGAAUCGCGGCCGAACGAAGGGACGGCUGAGAAAUAUAGGGAAGAAGACGACAAUGGCGAAGGGCAAAAUGGUCAUUUUACACACCGUAACUCCCCUGUGAACAUUUUUCAUUUUACAGGGGGCCAAAGUGUAGGUUUUUAAAUAUCAGGGAGAAAAAGUGAAAAAACGGGUUAUUACAGGGGGUUUUCUGUAAUUUAGCCUAUUAAAAAUUUACAUCAAAAUUUUGAAAUAAUAUCCAAAUUUUAAAUCUAUUUCUUUAAAAAAAUUAAACAUUGAAGUUGAGUAGAUAAUUCAAAGUAUAAAACUAAAUUUUGAUUUAUUCAAAUUCAAACUUAAAAUUACAAUUUAAAUUUUAAUUUAAGUUUUAAAUAAGAUAGUACAAGUCAAAUUGAAUUGAAUUGAAUUAACAUUAUAUUUCGAGUUAAUCAAAAGCCUUAAUCUCCAGAUUAUUUCCACUCAAGAUCAUGCACAGUGCAUUAAUUAAUCUUCCAUCACAUUAAUUUAAAC